GGGCGAUUAGCUCAGCGGGAGAGCGCUUCCCUGACACGGAAGAGGUCACUGGUUCAAUCCCAGUAUCGCCCACCA
rnacentral:tRNA from 40 species